CUGCAUCAGCAGGCAGACUCUCAACCACUGUGGCACCAGGGAAGCCCUCGAGAUAAGACAACCACCUCUCCCAGUCUUAAAGGAGUGGCCUCAUAUAGGAGAUGAACCUUACUGUUAAACCCUGCCCUAACUCUUGAUCGUCUCUCAAAACAUUGGAGAAGCUCUGAGUUGUGAGUUCGCUCCUGAUGGUCGGUUGCUGUGUUGGGGUGGAGUUUAUGUUGAGACUGUGUCCUAGCCUCUCCUACCCUCUUUGAUGCCAGCCUUCUCUCAUUUGCCAGAAUCCUUUGCUUCACCCCCGUUCUUGGGUGCUUUGGAGCUGGAAGCAGGCUUCUUGUCUUUGUCCUAAAGCAAAGGAAAUGUAAUGAGGCUCCUGCUAUCAACACUCCAUCUAGCAAUUAACUGCUGCUGCUAUCAAAUCAAUCCAGACUAUUCUUUUUAGUAGCCUGGAAUCUCCAAUUUAAUUAAAUAACGGAAAAUUGAGUAUUUUAGUCAAGAUUUUUCGAACAACACUGAAAGUACACAGAGGUGUUCAAGGUGGCGGGUAAAAAGGAUAAAAAUGAGGAAAAGGAGCCCUGAAGGACCACGACAGGAGCAAAUCUGAAGGGACGUGCUGUUUGUUUGUGUUGCAGGUGAGCAAAUACCUGCUGUUGAGUAAGCAGUACCCACCUCCCAGCAUCCGUGCCUCAGUGGGACGUGGCUGGUCUCUCGGUCCUGGAUUCAGGAACAGCUCCCCACCCCAGGGGUGGGGUACAGAUUUUAUUUUUCUGCAUCAUUAUAAUUUCAUUUUUCAAAUACAGGUUAAGUUCACCUCGAUAUUCCUAUGACAAUGGUAGAAUUGAGACCUAAGGAUUCUUUGAAAUGUCCUGUCUUUGAGACAUAGAUUUGUGUGGGACGUUACCUUUCUGGUUCCAAGCUAAAUGGACCGUUAAUAAGUACACUUCUACAUGUUGUACAAGAUAUAUAUAGCAUUAAGAGUCUGCACCUUGUGGACACCUCUGUGGUGCUGAACUCCUGGUCCAAUGCAGUUAGUUUCGAUAGCAGGGACGACUGCUAGGGAAGCCUCUGCCACUACAUUUACACAACCUGUGAACCUAGAAAAUGCACAUGUGUGCAUCAGAUAUGUAUGAUAAACUUACUGCCAGAUACAACCAAGAAAAAAUGUGGGAAGAGAAUAAAAUUAACAAAGCAGGGCUGGCUUUUCCAUCAUCACAAAGUCUAGCCUCAUGAACAGGACGUUUGCCUGAAUCUGUGCCAUAGCACAGACCUCAGAGAGGAAAGAGACACGACAUAGACCAUGGAGUAGGAAAAAAUUAGGCUGAAGUUAUCCAACCGUUCACUGACUCCAGGCAAAGUCAGAGGCUGAAGUUACCCAACCGUUCACUGACUCCAGGCAAAGUCAGAGGCUGAAGUUAUCCAACCGUUCACUGACUCCAGGCAAAGUCAGAGCGGGUUUUCCCCUUUGUGUGGAGGGUAGGGUAUUCUGUGCUAUAAUAACUUUCAAUUUUCACUUAUUAAUGAUUUGUUUUUCUUUUACCUUGACUUUAUCCUCUAGGGGU